rnacentral:rRNA from 1 species
GACGAACGCUGGCGGCGUGCUCAACACAUGCAAGUCGAACGAAGAGCGAUGGAAGCUUGCCUCUAUCAAUCUUAGUGGCGAACGGGUGAGUAACGCGUAAUCAACCUGCCCUUCAGAGGGGGACAACAGUUGGAAACGACUGCUAAUACCGCAUACGAUCUAAUCUCGGCAUCGAGGAUAGAUGAAAGGUGGCCUCUACAUGUAAGCUAUCACUGAAGGAGGGGAUUGCGUCUGAUUAGCUAGUUGGAGGGGUAACGGCCCACCAAGGCGAUGAUCAGUAGCCGGUCUGAGAGGAUGAACGGCCACAUUGGGACUGAGACACGGCCCAGACUCCUACGGGAGGCAGCAGUGGGGAAUCUUCCGCAAUGGACGGAAGUCUGACGGAGCAACGCCGCGUGAGUGAUGACGGCCUUCGGGUUGUAAAGCUCUGUUAAUCGGGACGAAAGGCCUUCUUGCGAAUAGGGAGAAGGAUUGACGGUACCGGAAGAGAAAGCCACGGCUAACUACGUG